rnacentral:rRNA from 1 species
UACGGGGGGGGCAAGCGUUGUUCGGAAUUACUGGGCGUAAAGCGCGCGUAGGCGGUCCGGUAAGUCCGCUGUGAAAGUCGGGGGCUCAACCCUCGGAUGCCGGUGGAUACUGUCGGGCUUGAGUGCGGAAGAGGCGAGUGGAAUUCCUGGUGUAGCGGUGAAAUGCGCAGAUAUCAGGAGGAACACCAAUUGCGAAGGCAGCUCGCUGGGACGUAACUGACGCUGAUGCGCGAAAGCGUGGGGAGCAAACAGG